GACGGACCUUCCAAACGUUAUUCGGUAUCACUGGGCUUAAAGGGUGCGUAGGCGGUCUCGUAAGUCGGGUGUGAAAUCCCUCGGCUCAACCGAGGAAGUGCGCCCGAAACUGCGGGGCUAGAGGGAGGUAGAGGCGAGUGGAACUUGCGGUGGAGCGGUGAAAUGCGUUGAUAUCGCAAGGAACACAGGUGGCGAAGGCGGCUCGCUGGGCCUUCCCUGACGCUGAGGCACGAAAGCUAGGGGAGCGAACGGG
rnacentral:rRNA from 1 species